rnacentral:rRNA from 1 species
UACAGAGGUGGCAAGCGUUGUUCGGAAUUACUGGGCGUAAAGCGCGCGUAGGCGGACCGGAAAGUCGGUUGUGAAAUCCCUGGGCUCAACCCAGGAACUGCAUCCGAAACUCCCGGUCUCGAGUGACGGAGAGGAUAGUGGAAUUCCCGGUGUAGAGGUGAAAUUCGUAGAUAUCGGGAGGAACACCAGAGGCGAAGGCGGCUAUCUGGACGUCCACUGACGCUGAGGCGCGAAAGCGUGGGGAGCAAACAGG